rnacentral:rRNA from 1 species
CCUACGGGUGGCAGCAGUGAGGAAUAUUGGUCAAUGGACGAGAGUCUGAACCAGCCAAGUAGCGUGAAGGAUGACUGCCCUAUGGGUUGUAAACUUCUUUUAUAUGGGAAUAAAAUGUUCCACGUGUGGGAUUUUGUAUGUAUCAUAUGAAUAAGGAUCGGCUAACUCCGUGCCAGCAGCCGCGGUAAUACGGAGGAUCCGAGCGUUAUCCGGAUUUAUUGGGGUUAAAGGGAGCGUAGGUGGAUGGUUAAGUCAGUUGUGAAAGUUUGCGGCUCAACCCUAAAAUUGCAGUUGAAACUGGCAGUCUUGAGUACAGGAGAGGUGGGCGGAAUUCGUGGUGUAGCGGUGAAAUGCUUAGAUAUCACGAAGAACUCCGAUUGCGAAGGCAGUUCACUGGACUGCAACUGACACUGAGGCUCGAAAGUGUGGGUAUCAAACAGGAUUAGAUACCCGAGUAGUC